GCAUACAUAUGUAUAGCAAAAUUUGUGUGUGUCUGUGUCUUUACACAGACACACACAAAUUUUGCUAUACAUAUGUAUGUG
rnacentral:pre_miRNA from 1 species